rnacentral:lncRNA from 1 species
CUUAAUGAUAUCAUAACAAUAUGUCAUCAUAUGUACUGUUAUGGUAUCAUUGAGGAUUUAGAAGUUCCUUAAGAAUUGAGGAUUGACUUUGUGAAAUAGUGGUUGUAAGCGAUUACCACUUGAUAAGAAGUAAUUUCAGGUUCUUCUUCUUCUUCAACUCAAUGUAGACUAUAUCAUUAGAUAUUUUCAAUGGCAAAAAUUGAAUACUUGAUUUCGAUGUUUUCAGAAGCAAUAAUUUUGAGUUGAUUUGAGAUUUGUGUGACUAAAUUUUUGUAAUUAAAUGUAGAUUCUACUAUUAUUGUCUUAACAUCCGAAUUGAUAUAUUGCUAUCCUGAAUUUCAACUUUCAUGAUGUUGUAGGAUAAUCGCAAUUUCCUCCACUGAUAGAAUGUUGCGGAAUGGAUUGUUGAUUUGAAUUGGGGAAAAAGGAGAACUGGGGAAGGGAGCAGAGUUUUUCUUUUUUGGAUUGCUGAAAGAAGAGAAGUCUAUUGUGUAUUUAUUUUGCUGCUAUUGGG